AAUCAACGCUGGCGGCGUGCCUAACACAUGCAAGUCGAACGAGAAAGUGGAGCAAUCCAUGAGUAAAGUGGCGACCGGGUGAGUAACACGUGACUAACCUACCCUUGAAUGGGGAAUAACCUUCCGAAAGGAGGGCUAAUACCGCAUAAAGUCCUAAGGAUGAAACGCCUAAGGACCAAAGGAGCAAUUCGUUUAAGGAGGGGUCGCGGUUGAUUAGCUAGUUGGUGGGGUAAGUGGCCCACCAAGGCGAUGAUCAAUAGCCGGCCCUGAGAGGGCGGCACGACCACACUGGAACU
rnacentral:rRNA from 1 species